UUCACUUUUAUCUUAAAAGAGGACAUUAUUCUUGAUGAGAUUCCGUACCAUUGGAACUUCAGUUUAAGAGGAAGUAUAGAACAUUUUGAAGUCUGUGGCAUGAUCAAGUAGCCAGGGUGAAGAUAGGGCAAGGCAUCUCAAAUUCUUAAUAGAAGCAGGUACCACUUCUACUUCUCACAUAGAAACUGGUAGUAUUUAUACUUCAUGUUGGUAGAAACAAGAACCACUUCUACAGCAACCCUAUAACACUUAGGCACAGGUGAAAUUUUUCUGAUUACCUCAGUCAAUUUGAAGGUGUGCAGCAUUGGAUGAGGUAUAUGGGAUAUUUUCCAGAAGGAGCUCCCAACUAAAUGAAUUACUCUACAAAGAAGACACACAAGUGCAUGUCCGAGAAACGGAACUGGAGAUUAAAGGA